GGUGGCAUAGUAUAGUGGUCAGUACAGCUCGUUGUGGAUAUAUGUAAUUCCGAGCAGACCUAGGUUCGAUUCCCAGUGCCGCCA